UGAGGGAAAGGCGAAAAGAACCCCGGCGAGGGGAGUGAAAAAGAACCUGAAACCGUGUACGUACAAGCAGUGGGAGCCUCUUUAUGGGGUGACUGCGUACCUUUUGUAUAAUGGGUCAGCGACUUAUAUUCUGUAGCAAGGUUAACCGAAUAGGGGAGCCGAAGGGAAACCGAGUCUUAACUGGGCGUUAAGUUGCAGGGUAUAGACCCGAAACCCGGUGAUCUAGCCAUGGGCAGGUUGAAGGUUGGGUAACACUAACUGGAGGACCGAACCGACUAAUGUUGAAAAAUUAGCGGAUGACUUGUGGCUGGGGGUGAAAGGCCAAUCAAACCGGGAGAUAGCUGGUUCUCCCCGAAAGCUAUUUAGGUAGCGCCUCGUGAAUUCAUCUCCGGGGGUAGAGCACUGUUUCGGCAAGGGGGUCAUCCCGACUUACCAACCCGAUGCAAACUGCGAAUACCGGAGAAUGUUAUCACGGGAGACACACGGCGGGUGCUAACGUCCGUCGUGAAGAGGGAAACAACCCAGACCGCCAGCUAAGGUCCCAAAGUCAUGGUUAAGUGGGAAACGAUGUGGGAAGGCCCAGACAGCCAGGAUGUUGGCUUAGAAGCAGCCAUCAUUUAAAGAAAGCGUAAUAGCUCACUGGUCGAGUCGGCCUGCGC
rnacentral:rRNA from 1 species